rnacentral:rRNA from 1 species
AUACGGAGGAUCCGAGCGUUAUCCGGAAUUAUUGGGUUUAAAGGGUGCGCAGGCGGCCAUUUAAGUCAGCGGUUAAAUCGUGGGGCUCAACCCCAUUCUGCCGUUGAUACUGGGUGGCUUGAUUGCGGUCCCGGUUGGCGGAAUUCGUUGUGUAGCGGGGCAAUGCGUAGAUAUGUCGAAGAACACCGAUUGCGUAGGCAGCUGACCAGACCGCAAAUGACGCUCAUGCGCGAAAGUGCGGGGAUCGAACAGGAUUAGAUGCCCUGGUAGUCCGCACAGUAAACGAUGAAUACUUGUUUUCGGCGAUAUAAUGUCGGAGGCAAAGCGAAAGCGAUAAGUAUUCCACCUGGGGAGUACGCCGGCAACGGUGAAACUCAAAGGAAUUGACGGGG